GUAGGGAAUAUUGGGCAAUGGAUGCAAGUCUGACCCAGCCAUCCCGCGUGCCGGAAGAAGGCCCUCAGGGUUGUAAACGGCUUUUGACGGUGAAGAAUCGACAGGAUGCGUCCUGUUUUGACGGUAGCCGUUGAAUAAGCACCGGCUAACUACGUGCCAGCAGCCGCGGUAAUACGGAGGGUGCGAGCGUUGUCCGGAUUUAUUGGGUUUAAAGGGUGCGUAGGCUGGAAGGUCAGUCAGCGGUGAAAAGCUAUCGCUUAACGAUAGUCUUGCCGCAGAUACUUCCUUUCUUGGAUGAGGAGGAGGCCACUGGAACGGAUGGUGUAGCGGUGAAAUGCAUAGAUAUCAUCCAGAACACCGAUUGCGAAGGCAGGUGGCUGUACCUUAAUCGACGCUGAUGCACGAAAGCAUGGGGAGCAAACAGGAUUAGAUACCCGGGUAGUCC
rnacentral:rRNA from 1 species